rnacentral:rRNA from 1 species
AUUGAACGCUGGCGGCAUGCCUUACACAUGCAAGUCGAACGGUAACAGGUCCUCGGAUGCUGACGAGUGGCGAACGGGUGAGUAAUACAUCGGAACGUGCCCAGACGUGGGGGAUAACGAGGCGAAAGCCUUGCUAAUACCGCAUACGAUCUAAGGAUGAAAGCAGGGGACCGCAAGGCCUUGCGCGUUAGGAGCGGCCGAUGGCAGAUUAGGUAGUUGGUGGGAUAAAAGCUUACCAAGCCGACGAUCUGUAGCUGGUCUGAGAGGACGACCAGCCACACUGGGACUGAGACACGGCCCAGACUCCUACGGGAGGCAGCAGUGGGGAAUUUUGGACAAUGGGCGAAAGCCUGAUCCAGCAAUGCCGCGUGCAGGAUGAAGGCCUUCGGGUUGUAAACUGCUUUUGUACGGAACGAAAAGGCUCUGGCUAAUACCUGGGGCACAUGACGGUACCGUAAGAAUAAGCACCGGCUAACUACGUGCCAGCAGCCGCGGUAA